rnacentral:rRNA from 1 species
AUUGAACGCUGGCGGCAUGCCUUACACAUGCAAGUCGAACGGCAGCGGGCCCUUCGGGGUGCCGGCGAGUGGCGAACGGGUGAGUAAUGCAUCGGAACGUACCCGGGAGAGGGGGAUAACCGGCCGAAAGGCUGGCUAAUACCGCAUGAACUCGGAAGAGCAAAGCGGGGGACCUUCGGGCCUCGCGCUCUUGGAGCGGCCGAUGUCCGAUUAGGCUAGUUGGUGGGGUAAAGGCCCACCAAGGCGACGAUCGGUAGCGGGUCUGAGAGGACGAUCCGCCACACUGGGACUGAGACACGGCCCAGACUCCUACGGGAGGCAGCAGUGGGGAAUCUUGGACAAUGGGCGCAAGCCUGAUCCAGCAAUGCCGCGUGGGUGAAGAAGGCCUUCGGGUUGUAAAGCCCUUUCGGCGGGGAAGAAAUCGGUCAGGCGAAUAGUCUGGCCGGAUGACGGUACCCGAAGAAGAAGCACCGGCUAACUACGUG